UUAGAAGGGGAUGUGUGCACUGCAAUCUGGUUUUGCUACUGAUGAGACUUGGCGUUGCAAUCCUGGCUCUUCUACUUAAAACGUCAAAGACAAAUCCAUACCACCAGGAAAAUAACACAAAAUACUGCUUGUGGGUAUUCAAUUUCAGGAUUAUGAACUAGAAAAAAAAAACCCUAAACAAAACAACCACACGCCAAAGCAGCUGAAUUGAUCUAUCACAACUGGGAUCUUUUCAUUUUUUGUUUGUUAUGUAAACUGCGUGACGGCCUCGCUUCCUGACGGUGGGAAAAAUCUCCUGAGAAGAAACGUGUCUUUCGCUUCCUCUGGGAAUGCUCAGUACCCUGGAGAUUCUUCUUGCUUGACAUUUUGUUUCUCAAGUGACUGCUGGACCUUUGCUCGGAGGAGAUAAGUAAUUUUUUUUCCCUGACUACAAGUAGUACAUGUAAUUAUGUAAUUGUAAGGCUCUUACGCUUAAGGCUAAACUGGUUUAUGAGAGGGGAUAUACAGGGGUUUGUCCUCCCAGGGCUUUUCUGAGCAAGACUGAUCUGGACUGGCUACAUUUUGGUGGCAGGUAGCAUGGCAAGCUCAGGAAACCCCAACUCAUUACUGGGCCACUGUCCAUCCCUGCUCUCAUACCUUGUCCCACAGGGAAUUUGGGGGCCAGAGCUGACAGACUGUGCCAAACAGAGCAUAAGGUGCCAGUGGUGAUCUGUGCCUGCUGUAAUUAUGAUGCAUUUAAUAUGUCAUUGAACCAGCAACAAACUCUGCUCUGUUUAUAAAAUGAAAGAAGAUAUUUGUUCUAUAUUCUGGAAAUGCAGCAUAGUUAGUGUGAAGAAUGGUUGUAACAUAUGUUGGGGUUGCAUCUGGAAAGCCUGAAGUCCUCCACAGAACUCCAGGUUCAGAUUAUAUCAGAACAAAUAGCAAAGUUUAAUUAAACUCUAAUUAAACCUUUUUUUUCUACCUGAUAGUGUUUUCAAUAUGAGCUGCUCGUAUUCACCACAUUUGGAAGGUUCAUAGGAAAGACAGGUCUAAUAGGUGAUCCAAACAGCCUAUCUAAAUUUAUUUUCAUCAUACAGUUUUCACAUCUGGCAUUUCAAACAGCACCAGUCUACUCUGCAGUGUCUGGAGUUCUGUCUCUACACAAAAGAAGACAAUUAUUUCAAAACCACGAGGUAUAAAACAAGGAAACCCAAAUCCUGCUCUCUUACUAGAUUAGUGAUGUAUCUUUUUUUCAUUAUUCAUUGAGAUCCUGUUGCUACAUAACCUUCCUUUUUCUUUUUAUCAGAAACCUGUGAAACAGAAGUACCUUGCUGCCAUAUGGAAAGAAAGGGCAGCUAGAAUCUUCCUACCAUUUCCUUUGCAUUGAAAUGUCUAAACAGAGAUGCUGCUGGUUGUAAGUUUAGGGUUAAGAAGAUCCCUGGGAUUGGAAGGCACACAGCCACGCUGCUUGGGAAGGGCUGCUUCAGGAUUAGGAAAACUCCCUUGCCAGACAGAUUUGUGCUACUUUUCCUUUGGAGUGCUCUUCCUGCCUGGACCCUUAAGCAUAUAUUUAACUGCAGAGACUUCCUUGAGAAUCCUCCUAAUUUGGAGGGGGCUUAACAUGAGUGUACAGGGAUUGCUGAACUGUUUAGGAUUUCAGAGGUGCCUAAGGUGUUUCAUGGAAUUCACAGACUGGUUUGGGUUGGAAGGGACCUUAAAGACCAUCUAGUUCAAACCCCCUGCCAUGGGCAGGGACACCUUCCACUUGACCAGGUUGCUCAGAUUCCCAUACAGCCUGCCUAUAUGUGUGGAUAACAGCAUUCCCAGUCUUUUAAUUAUGUUAUAUUUAUUCACAUUAGCAGACAGUACUCUAUAAUUCACACUGUAUUAGGUACCUAUGUCUUAGCAUAUCAUUCCAAGCACAAUAACUGGAAUGCAGCACUUGCAGAUCUCCCUUUCAGAAGUUUUUGAUCUGAAAUAAACCAUGAAGACAGUUUAUUUAUUCUACCAAAAAGAAUAGUUUGCCUAGUAAGAAAUGUUUUUAAAACUGAACAGCUGACAUUCAGUUCUUCUUUCCUUAAAAGCCAGCCAUCCCUUGACUUCUUCAGUGCAUUCCCAGGUAGUCUGGUUCCAUGGAGGAGCUGCCUUCUCCUCCCUUGGAUGAUGUGUUCCUACAAGCCUCCUGUCUCCAGUAUCUCUGGUCUCCUCCUUGCCCUGUCAUUGUCUCAUUACAAUACUCCCUGUGUGCUGAAGGUGGCUUGUCCUACCAUUUUUCUCUUUUUUGCCCAGCAGCCCUUUGUUGAUCUGAUUCACCGUAAUGGCCCAGCCAACACCGUAGGAACUGUUCCAGCAUUCACUACCCAGAGAGAAUCCAGGUUGUCCAUGCUCAGUCAGAGGAUACAAGGGACCUGUUCCUGCUCAGAGCGUGUGGAAGACCCUCACAUUGCAACAAUCAAUCAUUUUGCAAGAGGAAAAGCAAAAGCCAUGGAAGGGAAGACGGAAUCUGCUUCUCCUUUGACAGUCCUUUGAACUGUGCUCUGGCAGCUCUGAGCAAGCCUUCCCCGGGGGGAAAUCAGGCACAUGUGCUUCUGAGAGCAAGAUCCAGAGCUGAUCCUUGCUGCUGCUGUGAAGUUCACACAGCCAUGGCAUUCGACCCAGCUGGAAGGGAGCCCCUGCCUGAUGUGACAGGGCAGCACGUAGCUGUGUGGUCGCUGCUGAAUUCGUGACUUAAAUGCAUGUCCCUCACGGUGUGUGCCUUUGAAAACCCAGAUCUCUGAAUGAAACCAUUUGCAGCCCUUGGGCUUGAAGAGCAACCUGCUGCAGAGACCUGAUGUCCCCACCCUCCUCAGGGUGCACCCUGUCGAGGCCCUGCUUCUGUCCCUGGCUCACACAAAAUGUUUCCAAAGAGAGCAUAAGAAAUCCUGAAGGUGACAGCCAUGGAAUGACCUGCCAACAGGGAAAGUUUCCUCCAAAGCUUAUUACUCAGAUGUUGGCUGCGACCCUGGAGCAUUAAUCUUGAUAUCCCCUAAAAUCUGCUUUUGUACAGCAUCUGACUUAACCACGUAUCAAACAGACAACCUCAAAGAAAUUCACAGCCCUGGAAACGGAGGCCAGAGACAAAUUGUAUAUGUGCUCU